ACCCCCCCUUUCUCCCCCCGCUGAUGACAUCAUAGUCACGUGCCCUCAAUAGGGGCUGACGGUGCUUUCUCUGAAACCGAGAAAUGGGGAAUAUGGCUCGCUAGCCAACGGUGUCAAAGGUCACCCAAAACAGACCGCUCGCUGGUCACAUUUACUUGAGGAAGCAGCAUGUGGUUCAGCCUCAACGGGUCGCACACAUCGAUGAGCGACCGUUAGCGCUCACAAUAACACAGAGGGACAAUUUAGAGUCAACAAUUCAGCUACUGUGCCCACAGUGGAGUGGUGGGCCUAAUUUGAGUCAUUGGAAAAAUUAAAUCACUGAGUCGAUAAAAUGAGGCUCCAAAAUCAUUCACACUUUCAGCGACAUGUCGAACGUAUCGAGAACCAGUUUUGCACUUCUCUCAUCGUCACUUCCCGCAUGUCCAGAGCGCUGUAAAAAAAUAGCCCCCCCCCCCUCCAAAAAAAAAACCCCCAUCAGCUAUCAUGCGUGUAAAUAGCGUUUUGCGCGUGGCGCCACAUUGCGACAUCAUCCUGACGUUUGCAUGCAGACAUUCAAGGUGACAUUCCUGACUUUGUUGGGAUUUUUGGAGGAACUCUCUCGGUCCACCUUCCAAUGAUUAGGGAACCGCUUCCGAUUCCACAGCUGCCCUCGUGCGUCGUCGUCGUCGUUGUUGUUGUUGUUCCUCUGCUCUUAUUAAUCUUCUCCUGCUUGUGCUCGCCCACUCUGCGUAUGUGUGCAUCUUUCUUCGCUUCCAAUAAAACUUGAACUCAUCGCUGACAUCAACUCUGUGUGUGACGCUUCUUCUUCCUCCUCUUCUUCUUCUCUCAUCACUGUAAUUAUGUUUUUUUUUUUAAUUGCCUUUCAAGCCCUUCAAAGUCCAAAAGAGACACCAUGACACAUAUUUAAUCAUGGCUUUGAUUUGGGGUUGACCGAAAGGGAUUUUUGGGGGAGGCUGAUUCCCAUUCCGAGGUUUGGCAGAAUGAACUGCUGAUAACCGAUUAAUCGGCCAAUUAAUUGAAAAACAUCUCGGAUGAGAAAAGUCACUGACAGUACUUGCUCCUUUACUAUUUCUUGAACAUCGCAACAGAGGAAAAUUGGAACAAUGAGAUGUUAGAACGUCAUUAUCGUUGUCUUGUGUUAAAAAAAAAAAAAAAAAAAGAAUUUUAAAAGCGCCGAUAGCGGCCUAAUAAAUUGUCGUAUGAAUGACUCGGAUGUCGCUGACGUUGGGCGGAACGAAAGCCCGACACUUGGUUUGAAAUGACUCACCCUGUACUUGGCCACAUUUGAUGACAUCACAAAGGAUGUGACAAAAAAAACAAAAAAAAGAAACGAGACCUUGCCGUUCGGGCGUCAGAACUCUGUUGCAAAAACGAUCCUCUUUUUCAGAGAAACCCCCUCUUACCUAUUUUUUUUUUUUUAAACCCAAUCCC